rnacentral:rRNA from 1 species
GGGGAAUAUUGCACAAUGGGCGAAAGCCUGAUGCAGCAACGCCGCGUGAGUGAUGAAGGCCUUCGGGUUGUAAAGCUCUGUCUUCUGGGACGAUAAUGACGGUACCAGAGGAGGAAGCCACGGCUAACUACGUGCCAGCAGCCGCGGUAAUACGUAGGUGGCAAGCGUUGUCCGGAUUUACUGGGCGUAAAGGAUGCGUAGGCGGAUACUUAAGUCAGAUGUGAAAAUCCCGGGCUUAACUUGGGAACUGCAUUUGAAACUGGGUAUCUAGAAUGCGGGAGAGGAAAGUGGAAUUCCUAGUGUAGCGGUGAAAUGCGUAGAGAUUAGGAAGAACACCAGUUGCGAAGGCGACUUUCUGAACCGUAACUGACGCUGAGGCAUGAAAGCGUGGGGAGCAAACA